CUUUCUCCGCCGGCGACCGGCGCGCGGGUGAGUAACACGUAUGCAACCUGCCCCUGUCAGGGGGACAACCCGCCGAAAGGCGGGCUAAACCCGCGUACAUGCCACCGGGGCAUCCCGGAGGCAGGAAAGGCUUCGGCCGGACAGGGAUGGGCAUGCGGCGCAUUAGGCAGUAGGCGGGGUAACGGCCCACCUAACCGACGAUGCGUAGGGGUUCUGAGAGGAAGGUCCCCCACACUGGUACUGAGACACGGACCAGACUCCUACGGGAGGCAGCAG
rnacentral:rRNA from 1 species